CCUCUGGUUUCAAGACGCCAAAACAGAGAGCGAGCGCAAAGUGUCCAUGCUCAUGUCUAAUGUAUUUUUGACAAGCUGGUCUGGGAGAAGAAACUAGGACUCAGAACUGACAGGCAGAGAAGUGAGUACAUGUGGUGGUUGAAUUCCUCAAGAAAAUCUACUCAGAAGAAAUAUUCUAUUCAGGUUUGUGCUAUGUUCCUUUGAAUUGCAUGAGGUGAAUACUUAAGGAAGAAGGAAGACUGGACUUCCCUGUAAGAGAGUAUAUAGCAAGAGGAAGAACUGCCUGAUGGUUUAACACCCUGGUUUUGGAGUCAGAAGGACCUGAGUACAAACUUAGCACUCUUACUUUCUACCUGUAUGAUGUAGAGCCUCUAAUUCUGCAGCCAUGAACAUCACUAUGGAAAUCCUUAAUACACUUAUUUCAGAGUAAAAGGGAAAGCUUAUUCAGAGCUGUCCCAGGUGCUGAUUCCAGCCCUCACAGUGUUCUCUCUCCAACUGCCUGAGUUUUUUGUCACCCUCUUCGGUCAUA
rnacentral:lncRNA from 1 species